GCCGCCUCCCAUUUUCUCUUGCACGUUGUAAUUAUAGCCAGGUCUGAAAUGGUCACGCGCGUCUCACAACCUUUUAAUAUGUUUCCCAUUGAGCAUUGCUGGCUUGAAGAAUGGUGAAGGUAUUCCGCUGCGAGUGAAUUUUUCAGAUGUUCAACACACCAGUAAAGAAGGCCAGGGGGGUCAACUUGUCUCCUGUUAGCAGACGGAGGAGGCCGAAUGGAGGCGGAGGAACAGAUUUUAUUUAGCCCUCAGGAGAACACACACACACACACACUCCCAACGGAUGGCGCGAUGACGGAUGCCAGCGUGAUGAUUCUUCCAACCUCCGUGGAGAGCCAGAAUGAAUUUGGGCGCUCUUGGAAGAGCCGGACGACAGAAUGAGGCACAAAUUACACUUGUUAACGAAGGACAAUGAGUGUGUGACUUGCAGCUGUCUAAUCUCAUCUCUCUCAAGCACGCAGUGAACAUGGAGGAGGAGAUCUGACGUUCGGAGCCAAGAACACACGUUCGUUCAUGGGCCGUCAUCUGUUUGGAGGUCUGCCACGUCAGAGAGCACAUAACGUUAUUGAUUGACUUGCUUGAUUGUAUUGUACCUGAACAAAAUGAAACUAUUUUAUAUUAUUAUUAUAAGCUAUUUUAUAUGAAGUUUGUUGCCUUGAAAUUUGGACCUUACCCAACUUGGAGAUUCCCACAAUUAUCAUAUAAAUCUAAAAAUACGAAUAAUUUAAAACUCCCUGAUGUUGACUUUUUUUGGCAUUGUGAGAAGCUGUACGAUGAAUGCACUAUGGCCUCCAGAGCUUCAUGGACCAAUCGCAAGAGGCGUGGAUUUGAGAUAUUCGACUUUUUAGCAGUGUGUGUUGCCAAAAGCAAUGACUCGUGUUUUCUCUGAGAAAAGUUUACUAUUAUAGUGACCUCGCAGGAUCAAGUUGAAUUAUUUUAACUUGAGGAUGUGAUUUAUUUUCUCCUCCUCUCUCACGAUUGUGCUAAGGCUCAGUCGGCGGCGUGUUAUUUCCAAAGUCUCCUCGAAAUAUACGCUAAAACAGGUGGACUGGAUGCUACAAAUUGCCUUUCAUUGUGUUGUGUCUGGCUCAUUAGCCGCUCUAGCCAGUUUAGGAAACUACACGAAACCAUUAGAACACCAGUCAACUCCAUUUUCGGGCUCAUUUGCACCACUUAUGAAUGAUGUGGCAUUGAGACCUCACACGUGUGGAUUAAUCGAUUCAUCAAACAAUUGCAGUUAAAGGAAAACUGGGUCACCAACAAACCCAAAAGGUGCAAAUGAAGAAAAUAAACUGGAAAAGUCAGUCAGCUUGUCUCUCACUAAUGAGCCUGUAACUUUCCUUUGGACUGCGUUAAGACAUCCAAAGUUGACCUUGCAGCGCCCAGUCACAAUUAAUUACCGCAAUGACUCAGCACGUGGGACAGCCAGCUUUGUCCUAAAGCACACUGUGAACGCGAAAGCUCUGACAUUUUGAGAAAUCGCAGCAGAGAAGCAGACUGAGGUUUGCACCAACUGUCUUUCUUGGCCUGCAAUGGCGAGGCCCUGUAAUAUUCAGCACAUUUCCUACACAGCUAAUAUCUUCUGGACUGUGGCUGAGCCAGGACAAAUAUGCUCAUUUCCAGGACCGGGACUUGGCUUGCGUCGACGUCUCCUUGACAAUUUAUGGAAAAACAAGAGAAUAGGAAGGAGGGGAAGUGUAAGAGUGAUUUCGAGCGGCGCCGAUAAAUCAUGGGACAGGCGACACUUUAAAAACUGUUCGCAUCGUAAUGGAGACUGCAAGGAAUAAACAAAUUACAUUGUCAAAGUCAGGAUCGGAUAAAAUAUAGUUAUCAAGCCACUUAGCUAUUGAGUUACCGGAUGACAUUAAAUCUUAAAUUUAUUACUGGUUUCCUCAAAUCUCCGUCAUGUCAAAGGAGCAUCCCAAUAAUCUCCAAACUAGAUUUAUUGUCCUCUAGGAUGUCUUGUGUUGUUGUGUUUAUAAUGGCAUCAUUUAUUAUUCUCAGGCUUUUUUUUCUGAUAACGUCCCUCAUGUUACUGGAACCUUCUGUUGCUUUUCACGCCAUUAGUCACAAAGGAAAGUCUCCCUUGGUUCUCAAGAACAUGUGGGGUCCUUCAAGGUUCCCUUCUCAGCCCAUUGAUUCUUGGUCCCAUAAUAUUGUAUUUGACUGUGUUACUGUUUAUAAUUAUAAAUAUGUAGCUGGCAUGAGUGUUUGCACAAAAAAAUACUAGUGCACUUCUUUAAGUAUUGGUAAAGGUCAAAUUGCAUUUUUUUAAAUUUUCCCACUAGGCUUUUGUUUGAGUGUACGUACACACAUAAACAGAUAUGCGCAAGCACACGCACAAAAUGAAAACACAUGUCUCCCUUUCAGUGGUUCUCAUAGAAAAAGUGUGUCGCUAUUACUAGUCUACUGGAUUGAACUCAUCUCUGUUUCCCGACUCGCAGCUCACUUUGGCUUAGUGUCAAACUGCUGCGGUUGCAUUCUUGCGGAAGAUUCUGGAUGCGAUUUGAGUUAUCCCAACAUUUUAUGUAUAUUUCCCCAAAUCUGUCGGUCAAUCGGAAAACACUUAGAGCGAGGGCUUUGGGUUGUUUUUGGACAUCCCACAUGAAAAGGGCAAGUAUUUCAAGUGAUAAAUAUUGCAAGGUUGACGUGCCUGUCAGCGUAUAAUAAACCAUUUGGGCUGCUGAAAUCUCA